rnacentral:sRNA from 1 species
AAAAUGGCGGACGGAGGAGCAGCGAGUCAAGAUGAGAGUUCAGCCGCGGCGGCAGCAGCAGCAGCUACUACUGGGCUGUAAACAGUGAUGCCAGCAAAAUGUUACUUCAGCUGAUGAAGUGAUGCUGUUUCGAGAAUUUGAAAGCAGUUUUUCAGUGGAUAAAGAAGUUGGACAGCACGAUUUGUUGCAUGUGAUGAAGGAUUAAUCAGCAUACACCUUCACUUGUAUUAGCUUAAGAUGGAAUGGUUCUGGGCAAUAUAAAAUAACAAACUCAAGAAUGAACAAUCCGUCAGAAACCAGUAAACCAUCUAUGGAGAGUGGAGAUGGCAACACAGCAUGGACGCUUUUAUGAUAUGGGCACUGAAACUAAAGCACAUGGUGGAAGAAGGAUUGGUAGCAUAUAGAAACAUUUUUAGACAAAUGAAAAAGCAAAAAAGUCAGAAAUUACAGUGUAUUUCCAUAAAGUUACACCAAGUGUGCCUGCCUCUUCUGCCUCCCCUUCCAGCUUUUUGUCUUCUGCCAUUUCUGAGUCAGCAAGACCCCUCCUGUUCCUCCUCCUCAGCCUACUCAGCAUGAAGACAAGGAUGAAGAUCUUUGUGAUGAUCCACAUCCACUUAAUGAAUAGCACACAAACCAAUGGUCUGGACUUUCAGAAGCAGCCUGUGCCUGUAGGAGGAGCAAUCUCAACAGCCCAGGCGCAGGCUUUCCUUGGACAUCUCCAUCAGGUCCAACUCGCUGGAACAAGUUUACAGGCUGCUGCUCAGUCUUUAAAUGUACAGUCUAAAUCUAAUGAAGAAUCGGGGGAUUCACAGCAGCCAAGCCAGCCUUCCCAGCAGCCUUCAGUGCAGGCAGCCAUUCCCCAGACCCAGCUUAUGCUAGCUGGAGGACAGAUAACUGGGCUUACUCUGACGCCUGCCCAGCAACAGUUACUACUACAGCAGGCACAGGCACAGGCACAGCUGCUGGCUGCUGCAGUGCAGCAGCACUCCGCCAGCCAGCAGCACAGUGCUGCUGGGGCCACCAUCUCCGCCUCUGCUGCCACGCCCAUGACGCAGAUCCCCCUGUCUCAGCCCAUACAGAUCGCACAGGAUCUUCAACAACUGCAACAGCUUCAACAGCAGAAUCUCAACCUGCAACAGUUUGUGUUGGUGCAUCCAACCACCAAUUUGCAGCCAGCGCAGUUUAUCAUCUCACAGACGCCCCAGGGCCAGCAGGGUCUCCUGCAAGCGCAAAAUCUUCUAACACAACUACCUCAGCAAAGCCAAGCCAACCUCCUACAGUCGCAGCCAAGCAUCACCCUCACCUCCCAGCCAGCAACCCCAACACGCACAAUAGCAGCAACCCCAAUUCAGACACUUCCACAGAGCCAGUCAACACCAAAGCGAAUUGAUACUCCCAGCUUGGAGGAGCCCAGUGACCUUGAGGAGCUUGAGCAGUUUGCCAAGACCUUCAAACAAAGACGAAUCAAACUUGGUUUCACUCAGGGUGAUGUUGGGCUCGCUAUGGGGAAACUAUAUGGAAAUGACUUCAGCCAAACUACCAUCUCUCGCUUUGAAGCCUUGAACCUCAGCUUUAAGAACAUGUGCAAGUUGAAGCCACUUUUAGAGAAGUGGCUAAAUGAUGCAGAGAACCUCUCAUCUGAUUCGUCCCUCUCCAGCCCAAGUGCCCUGAAUUCUCCAGGAAUUGAGGGCUUGAGCCGUAGGAGGAAGAAACGCACCAGCAUAGAGACCAACAUCCGUGUGGCCUUAGAGAAGAGUUUCUUGGAGAAUCAAAAGCCUACCUCGGAAGAGAUCACUAUGAUUGCUGAUCAGCUCAAUAUGGAAAAAGAGGUGAUUCGUGUUUGGUUCUGUAACCGCCGCCAGAAAGAAAAAAGAAUCAACCCACCAAGCAGUGGUGGGACCAGCAGCUCACCUAUCAAAGCAAUUUUCCCCAGCCCAACUUCACUGGUGGCGACCACACCAAGCCUUGUGACUAGCAGUGCAGCAACUACCCUCACAGUCAGCCCUGUCCUCCCUCUGACCAGUGCUGCUGUGACGAAUCUUUCAGUUACAGGCACUUCAGACACCACCUCCAACAACACAGCAACCGUGAUUUCCACAGCGCCUCCAGCUUCCUCAGCAGUCACGUCCCCCUCUCUGAGUCCCUCCCCUUCUGCCUCAGCCUCCACCUCCGAGGCAUCCAGUGCCAGUGAGACCAGCACAACACAGACCACCUCCACUCCUUUGUCCUCCCCUCUUGGGACCAGCCAGGUGAUGGUGACAGCGUCAGGUUUGCAAACAGCAGCAGCUGCUGCCCUUCAAGGAGCUGCACAGUUGCCAGCAAAUGCCAGUCUUGCUGCCAUGGCAGCUGCUGCAGGACUAAACCCAAGCCUGAUGGCACCCUCACAGUUUGCGGCUGGAGGUGCCUUACUCAGUCUGAAUCCAGGGACCCUGAGCGGUGCUCUCAGCCCAGCUCUAAUGAGCAACAGUACACUGGCAACUAUUCAAGCUCUUGCUUCUGGUGGCUCUCUUCCAAUAACAUCACUUGAUGCAACUGGGAACCUGGUAUUUGCCAAUGCAGGAGGAGCCCCCAACAUCGUGACUGCCCCUCUGUUCCUGAACCCUCAGAACCUCUCUCUGCUCACCAGCAACCCCGUUAGCUUGGUCUCUGCCGCCGCAGCAUCUGCAGGGAACUCUGCACCUGUAGCCAGCCUUCACGCCACCUCCACCUCUGCUGAGUCCAUCCAGAACUCUCUCUUCACAGUGGCCUCUGCCAGCGGGGCUGCAUCCACCACCACCACCGCCUCCAAGGCACAGUGAGCUGGGCGGAGCUGGGCUGCCAGAAGCCUUUUUCACUCUGCGGUGUGAUUGGACUGCCAGCCAGGUUAAUAAACUGAAAAAUGUGAUUGGCUUCCUCUCGCCGUGUUGUGAGGGCAAAGGAGAGAAGGGAGAAAAAAAAAAAAAAACCACACACACACAAACACAUACACACAUACCAGAAAAAGAAAGAAAGGAUGGAGACGGGACAUUUGCCUAAUUUUGUAAUAAAACACUGUCUUUUCAGGAUUGCUUCAUGGAUUGGAGAACUUUCUAACCAAAAAUUAAAAAAAAAAAAAAAAAGAAACAAAAAAAUCAAAAACAAACAAAAAUAAGUGAAAGGACUACUUAUCAUUUCCAGCAGUCAUGAUGACAAGUUAAGGUGGGUUACCAAUUCCAAUAUAGGAAGGGGAUUUCUUGUUUGUCUAAAUUUCUUUUUUUCUUAAAAAAAAAAAAGUCAUUUUUAUGGGUCUGUUGUACAGGCCAUUAAGUCAUAACAAGGUGUUUAUAAUCGUAUCAAUUGUGUUGGGGGUUCCUUUCUUAACUGGUACAAUUUAGGCAGGCCUGUAUUACUGUAUUAUUAUUGUUGUUGUUGUUAUUGUUUUAUAUAUAUAUAGUUUGGACAUGUUUAUUAUCUCUUGCUCCUGGAUCCUAUUUCAGUGAGCUCCCACACUGUGGGGAGGGAGGGUUUUGGGGUAAGGGGAGACUUCUGUUCUUAACUGUGGGGAAUGUUCUUGCUGGUUUCCUUAUCCUUGAUGACUCUUACAGAGGUGCUAGAAAAUUAUUUUCUUUUGCCACUUAUGCAAGAGGCUUGGUGCAGAAGCUGAAGGCAGUGUGUGCAAACACUCCCAUUCCACACACGCCCCUUCCCCUCCCCACAUCAGGUGGUGCCUUUGGAGCACUUUUGUGUAGGAAGGAAUUCCUGCUGAACUGUAGCUCUCACUCACCCCCAAAUCAUUGAAUGACCCUGAGGCCCAGUUCCUGUGGUGCAACAGUGCUGCUUUCUGCUACUUUCAAUGGGAACAGCUGUACAUGUUGCAGGGCAGGAUUUGGUUCCCAAGAGCAAAGACUACUGCAGACACCUGACUUGGUGGUUCUCCUGAUUUCUUAUCUCCUGAAAAAUGCUCCUACUGUUGGUGUGUUUGUUUGUUUGUUCCAUUUUGUGGAAGUUUUUCAUCCAAACUUUAACUAACUUGGCAAAGAAAAAAACUGACUUAUUGAAAUUGGGAAACUUUUCCCUUCUUUUAUUUUCUAAUGGAAUUCUACUAGACUAUUUUCCAUUGAUAAUGUAUACAAAAGAGGUGUCAUGAGAAGAGUGUAAGGUUACCACCUUUUCCUCUAGAGAGCCACAGACUUCCUUUCCACCGGAUGGUUUAUAAAUUCCUCUAACCCUGAGAUUCUUCUUGGUUCUCUGACUAAAGGAGGCACUUAUUAGCCGGGCUGGGAUCUGUAGAACCUUUCAAGAAGGACUUUGAGCAGGAACUUUGCACACACCUUAAGUGUCUCCUUGGUUUGUUCGUGAUGCUCCUGCUAGGUAGGUCUAAAUGGCAAUACACAUCUCUUUAUUCAAUGUAGAAAGUAAUUAGCUCUGUAAUUAUUUUCAGGGUGUUUCUAGACUAUAUAAAUGAGCCCAUUGAAAAGGAAGAGCUUGUGAAAGUGGAUGAAGAGGAAUAAGGGUAACUUGGAGAUUAAAUUCCCCUUUCUGUCAGUGUACUGUUAUUAUGCCAUCUGUACCAAAAAAUUUUCCAAAAGACUGGAUCACUGCAGUGCAGCUCAUCUAAGUUCCCCUUCUUAUUGGAGUUAAAGGUUCCCAUUUGGUGGCUGUGGGUGCUUGCUUAAAUCUCUGGUGGUCCCAAGACUGCACUUUUUCUCCCUUUCGAGCUGGGGAUGUAGAGAGAACUUACUGGUGAUUUUUAUUCUGAUUGCUUUUGUUUGUGUCCACAAGGGAGCUUGGAUUCUGUCUGGAUACUUGUCUCUCUUUACCAUUGUCCGGUAAGGCAGUAAAUACAGACACAACAUGUACGUUUGUGUGUGAUUCAAGUGGGAGACAGUCUGUUAAAAGGUCAGAAACAUUUUAGUCCCCUUUUAAAUUUUUCUUUUAGUUUAUUUCUAUCUUGUUUUAUUUCACAGAUAUUUAAUUACCACCCCUAAAUUUCCUCCUCUUACCCUUCACCUUCCCUAAAAUCCUUCCAAAAUCAGUGAACUGCAAGCAGGGAAACUAACAAAUGUCCAUUCACCCUUUUUGUGUGGUGUGUUUUUUUAUGUUUUAUUUUGUUUUUUAACUAAGCUUGAACCAAAGUCAAUUUUUAGCAAGCUGCUGUACUAAUGGACUAGUUGAUAACGUGCAGUUCAGACACAUCGAGGAGAUAGAUGCUACUGACAAUUUCUUUUUCAUUUGUCUUUAUUAAUUUUAUAUAAAAGUUGCUGCUUGUUUUUAAUCUUUUAUGUUGGUAAAUUGUAAUAUCCUCUGGGCAGACAUUAACUUGAUGUUUAACUAGUUUAUUAGGUUGGUGUGUAAAUAGAAUGACAAUGUCAAUUACUAAUUUCUCUCCUCUCCAUUCACUUUUUCUCUGUUGUAGUUAAAUUUAAUCUUCUAUCCUGACUUGACAUCUCUACCUUUAGUCUGUGCAAAUGAUUUUAGGGCUAUCAGUAAUGCUGUAGCUGCCCAUAAGAAUGAGUCCCUCCCUCGGGAGUGGUGAAACUUAGAAGGAAGGAUUCAGGGAGGAAAAUGCUGGUGCCCACUGUACUGGAUUAGAAGUUAUAGCAUUAAUUUCUCAAAAUUGCUACCAAAGGAAGUGUGGAGUCCCAAGGGACUCAAGCUCGGUGAGGUAAGACAAAGGGCAAGGAAAGGCUGUUUGGGUGUUCUUUUUUUUCCCCACAUAUGGUUUAGAAAAUGAUCCCUUUCCCAAAAAAAACUCACCAACAGACUUUAAUAUUAGAAAAGAUACUAAGCUUUAAAUGUCAAUACAAUACAAUACAAUUCCCUGCCCUGUCUAUAUUUUCUACUCAAUUUGGGAUAAGGGGAUUUUAUGUGAAGCACUUGAUGAGGGUAGACCAGCAUAAAAAAUCUGUUUAAAAGAAGAAAUAAUCUUUAGGAAAAGAUAAAUCUUUAGAUAAAAAUAAAUCUAAAGAUAAAUCUUUAGAUAAAAUUUUUUCUCUUUUUUUACUUAUUUAAAAAUAAGUUGUGAAAUGAAAGGUACAUUUACACAUGUACACACGAAACACUAAUAUAGCUUUUUGGUGAUGGUUUAGUUUAAAAUCAACUCCCUAUCCAUCAUCCCUAGAUAUUCUACUUAUCAUAUUGCUUCAUGAACACCUUAGUCAUUUUUUCUUUACGUAUAUUUUUUUUAUCAUCUCAAGAAAUGCAUUUUGAAUUGAAUGAACUAUCUUCUAAGCUAAGGUACUCAAAUUUAACUUUUAGCCACCUUAUAUGGGAGAGCCUGGAAACUAAAGGGGGCCAGGGACCGUUUGACCAAAAAGAGGUGUUUGGUGGAGUUUCUGCAUUUGAAAGAAGAAAGGCCAGAGAGGUCAUCACAAUUCACUGUAUUAUUCUUUUUUUCACCUUAAUGUUUAUGCAAAUUUUAUUUUAUAUUUCUGAAUUUGGUUAGCACAUACUAAGCCAAAGACUAUUCUAAAUGCAUUUAUAGUGAAUACUAUAUAUGCCCAUGGUAAUGGGUCCUCCCUAAGGAGUGGUGAAUGUAAUUGUGUGAAUCCUGCUUAUCACAAGUGGUGCAAUUUGGUCAUAAACUUUAUUUAUAGUAUACAUCUGAAUAACAGAGCAGAAAGACCUAAAAAAGGGCUUCUCACAGGAACAAUAUUACUAUGUUGUUCUAAGAAAAAAUGAGUGCUGUAUUAGUUUAAGUGUUUCUGAAGUUCUAUAGGCAGCAUUUUAGAAUUAAGAAUUGUGUAGAUCCAUUAACUGAUAGAAUUCACAUGUCCUUUUAUUUGUUAUCAGAAAGAUCAAUACUAUCCCAAUUUAUUCAACUUGUUACCCAAGAAAUGGAACCAAAGGAAUCCAACUUUCAUUUUGUGUAGAAUCAUACCUAUUUAUACUUAAUGCUAGCACUGUAAGAAAUAAAUCUUUUUUGUUUAAAAAAGGGAAGAUAAGAUUAAAGAUUCUUAGUGAGAUCAUCUUGCCAAUUUGUUGUACAUCUCUCAUUCAUUGUUGGGGAAAAAAAAGCACAACUAUACCUCUUUAAUGUUAUUUUCUUCCAUUAUCCCUCAUUUAUUUGGAAAGAUAAGGGAAACCUUGUCUGUAUUAUCCAGAAGCACAGAUAUUUGCUUGACACAAUAUUUAAAUUCAGCCCAAUCUUUAACAUUAAAAAAUUUUCUUUUUAACUUGCUGGAAAAGUCGGAUACAUUGGCAAAUAUAGGGAAUUCAUGUCUUUUUUGUUUUGUUUUGUUUUUCUGGUCUUGUUCUGUUGCCUAGGCUGGAGUGCAAUGGCACAAUCUCGGCUCACUGCAACCUCUGCCUCACGGGUUCAAGCAAUUCUCCUGCCUCAGCCUCCCAAGUAGCUGGGAUUACAGGCGCCCACCACUGCACCCGGCUGAUUUUUGUAUUUUUAGUAGGGCGGGGUUUCUCCGUGUUGGCCAGGCUUUUUGAACUCCUGACCUCAGGUGAUCCACCCGCCUCGGCCUCCCAAAGUGCUGGGAUUACAGGCGUGAGCCACUGCGCCCAUCCUCAUGUCAAUUUUUAAAGUGAUAAAUCCUGAUAUUAUACAUUGCAAUUAGUGUAGAAUAAAUGCUUGGCUUAUAGAACUCUCUGUUCUUAGUCUAAAGCUGUUCCCAAACCAGGUCAUCCUCAUGAAACAUUCUUGACCAAGAAAAAAGAUAAGGUCAUUGAGACAGGAAGACAGAGGAAAAGCCUCUUGCUGUUGUUUCUUCCCAAGAAAGGAGAAGCCUGCCAGGGAGAAGUCAGUAGUAUCACUGACUCACCCUAUCACUGAGUGUAGGGUGUGGUAGCAAGGAGGAGGCAGGGAAUUCAUGCUGACAGGUGGCUCUGGCCUGGCUCUUGGGGGGCCUUCCGAAGACCAGUCUGCAGUUUGAGGAAGGGCCCCAACAAUUCAUUUGGAGAGCUUGGCCAAAUACUUUCUCAUUAAAUCAGCACCUAAACUUGAUGAACUUAAAGUUUGUUUAUUAGAGUUGAAAACAUUAAAAGAUGACUGAUACUAAUGGGAGAAAAAUACUAAAGACCCAAAAUUUAAAAUUUUCCAAAAUGGACAAGAGUUGAUGGGUUAAUUUGCUCAUAACUGAUAUGAGUUUGCUUUUGUGUGUGUGUGGAAAGCAUUUAAUGUGUGAUGCUGUUCAUAGUCCUGGCUAUUUGAUGUCAUUUUCAGUUUUACAACAUUUUGAGGAUGACACUUUAUAAAAUGGUAAAUCUUUCUCAGCGUUUACAAACUUGGCUUUUGAGAAGGGGAAAAUCCUCUUUGCUAUUUCUGUAAGAAGAAUAACUGAGAUCAGCUAUUAUAUAGGUUCGCGUGGAUGGUGUACACAAUACAAAUGUAAACUUGGACAGGAAUAGGAUAAAUAAAUUGCUUUCAUCAUAAAGGCCAAUCAUCCAUUUCUUAAUCCAAAGAGAUUAAAUAUAAAUAGGACACCCCUGAGAUUUCCAGUAAGGUAUUUGAAAGAAUUCCACUGGGAGGACAGGGAAUAUAUUUUUUCUCAGAGCGUCCAGUUUGUACCCAGUUUUCUGUAUGGUUUGUGAACUGUAGCUUUUAAAAAAAAAAAUUAUUUUGUAGUUUUCUUCUAACCUUAUUCAUUAAGUAGUUCCUUGUUUUGGCCCUUCUACUCUUGGCCUUAGCUAAAAGCAGUAAAUGUGAGUGAAUUUUAUGUUGAUUGUGUCAUCUGGAUCUCCUUUCCUUCCCUUCUUUUUCUCGUUGAGUGGUGGUACCUUAAUUUGGGUAACAGCUAGCUUCUGGCACCUUCAUAAAAUACCUCAGAAUAGCUUAGCAUUGUUGCAAAACUGGUUUUAAACUAAAAACCAAAUAAAUAAAUGAAAAAAUUUUAUAAAUAGUGGAAGUAAUUCUAGCUGUAGCAUUUAGUUGAACUAAUGUUUAUUAUGAUCGAUAAACAAGAUUGAUGCUGUAUGUAUUUGGGAUCCUGUUUAUAGGUUACAAUUUAUAGGGUUAGGGAGGGUUGGGUGGGGGAAGAGGAGAUGUUGAUUAUGUUAGAAGGAAAACAUUGCUCGUGUGUGUGUUUGUUUUUUCUUAUAUCUGUCUUGCCAAAGGAAACUUGAUUUUCCCUGUGAUUGGCUUUGGCUUCUCUGUGGUCUGAUCUGCAGCAGUGUGUGGUGGCAUGCAGGUAACAUAUGGGGUGUCCAGUAGGUUCAGGGACCCUGAGGGUGCAUUUACAUCCCUUCCUAUGGUUGCCCAUGCCCCCCAGACCCUGCCAACCUCUCCUAAUGAUUCAUUACCUCUGUACAUAGCAAAAGCAUAGACAAAGGAUGAAUGUGUGAAUGCCUGGAUGUGCAGUUGAGAAAUAGAGGCAGAAAUAGACAUGCACCAAUUAAUUUGGAGCCAAGAGGUGAGUGAUCGAUAUAUCUUAAAUCUAGGAAAGUUAAAGUGAAACAGGUUCUUUGUGUUGCCCUCUGUCAAGUUACUGAAUGUUGUGCUAAUAACACAACAUUUUAAAACCUUACUUACUUUCCUCAUACCAAGGCUAGUUCUUUCUAGACCAAAAACACAAACAGGAUAAAAAGCAAACCAAGAAGUUGAAAGCUAACCUGCCCACCUCACCCCUGUGAUAUAAAGUGUGACCCUUAAGGAUUGGUUGGUGGGAUUGAGGAGAGAAUUAUUCUUGGUGGGAACAUGAAUGAGAAAUGAUGCUGGCUUAGGAAAAAUUACAAGCCCUUUCUGCCCAUACUCUGGGACAAACUUUCUUGGCUCCCUGAGUUCGGAUAUAGACUGUAUCUCCAGAAAGGCUAUUUUUUUAAAUAAAUGAUCUCACAGAACUUAAGUGGGAUUUGGUUUAGAUACCAAAGACACUGCUAAUGUCAUUGCUUAUCCUUAAGUUUUCAAAACAGGCAGAGGGAAUAGGAGCAAAAAGCCAAAAUUUGGAAAAGCUUUACUUUAUCUCUUUCCUUCCCUUUUCCCCUUUUCCCAGUCCCCUGCUUUUUGAAGGAAGUCUUCUUGGUUGUCCUGGCUUUGGAAAAGAGAUUUAUUUUGUUUUGCUCUGCUGGCUCUUUAAAGAUGGAUAGUUGCUCAGUGUAGCAGUGAUGUUCUUGGAAUUGCUGAGAAAUUUGGGGAGGACAAAAGAUAGGGGUAGAAUUUUUUCAUUAUUUCCCUUUAUCUAAUACUUUUAAAUAGAACCAACACAGCCUAUAUGAGUUCAGACAAUAUUUAGAUGUGAUAUCUCCAUCUGUCUCCUGUAAAAGAUAAGAAUUUUCAAGAACAGGAUUACGUGGAAAACCAAAAGAUCUUCCCUUACUCUCCUAUAAAUAUUUUGUUCCAAAUGUUUUUAUAUAUGGGCUCUAGGGAGUCAAGUAGUUCAUUGUUUUGGUGUACUAUUGAUAGGACACAGAAAGGGAGAGAGGGUAAAGAAAUACAUCGCUCUCUGAAUAUUGCAUCAAAAAUGAUCAGGUUGCAGAACUUCAUGAAAACUUUACUAAUAAUCUUAUUCUGACAUUAUGUAAAGGUGGUAUUAAUAUUGUAUGACUUUUCAAAGUGCUAGAUAGGUUUAUAAGUAAGUAAUAGGGAUGUUGAAGAUUAGAGCACUUGAAACAGAAGUUCUGGGAAAAUAAGGUGUGUGUAAUGGAACACCACUUUGAGCACAGAAACAAAGGUCCCUUGGACCUGGUAGGGAAGAUGUGAUUUAUGAUUGUUUCUGUGUCCCUGUAUCUGCCCACCCUGCACAGGGCUCCACCACCCAGGGCCACCUUCUGGUUUAAACCCAGGACUCUGUCAAAAAGUUAAGACCCCAAAACUAAUUUCCUGUAAAAAACAUUGAGGACUGCUGCAAAGUUUUCCCAUGUUUUCUUUGUGUACUUGUUCAUCAUUGUAUAAGUUAGCCACAGCUUCACAAGAGCAGCUUAAGGCUUCUUUCAUAAAUUGGCAGUGGCAUUGAGUUCUCAAACAUAUCCCAAAGUCUGCAGGCAGACAGCUGGAUACAGCGCUGUGUAUAAAAUGAGACGUCCAAACACUUGAGUUUCUUAAGAUCGGGAUCUCUUUCAAAUGAAAAAGGACAGGGCCAAGUAGAGAAAAGACUUUGUGCUACCACCCGGCCUUAAUGAGUCUCAUGGUCUAAAAGUAUAGGAAGAAAUGAAAUGCACUUUCAGAAGCUAAAAUGACAGUGUCUGCUACAAAAGGCUGUAGUUGUAGACAGUCGGGGAUGCCAUGUCCUUGGUUCCAUUCCUGCGUGAGUCUGCAGAAGGCACACACUUUGUAAGAGUAGAGCGGACUAGUGCCAGCCUGAAUAGGUUUAAAACUGCAAACAGUUGGAGAACAUGGAACAGGUUGGUGCAGGGAGCCUAAGAUUUUGCAAUCAUAUUAUAACAUUGGCUUUUGACAACAUAAAUGUAUCUUCCCUAAGGUCAGGUCAGGGAAAGAAAGACUUCCAGCUUCUUACCUCUGCGUGCAUGGGCACGUGUACAUUGCUCAGUCCACAGGAGGUCUCACUCCGCAGGAAACGCUCUCCUCCCGCAUUAGUCUGUACUUCCAUCCCCUCAUCUGUGGUAGUAGUGAAGGCUAGGUGAGUAAGCGUGGGCUGUUCUACCCACCAGAAGUCCAGGAGCUGUUGUAUACCUCAUUUCUAACUCGUGACCGAGUGACUUGCUUUAACUUUCUCGAAACCCUACAGAGUUGCCAAGUCUGCCCUCCCUCCUCAGUCAUGUUAAACUCUGGCCUAUAGCAUCAUGGGACCUGUAGCCUAGGGUGGGACCCCCUAAAGCCUCUGAAUGUCGCUGCUUAAAAGCUACUGCAAACUGAGGGCAAAUUGCAAUCUUCUAUUCCUUUUUGUUGCAAGGGGUCUUCACAGGUCUCUUAACAUCUACCUUCCCUGCCACCCUGCCUUUAGGGGCUGGCCAGCUAUCCACACCCCUAACCCACCCUGUGUUUCUGACAGCUGGCCACACAUCAACUUCUGUACUUGCCUUUUCCUUGGUGGGUAGAGGCCAACCCCUUCUCCUCUGAGGCCUCAGGGUUCUGUUUCUUUUCAGGACUUUGGGUAGAAGGGAAGACACCAAAGGCUCCUUUAAGCUGACUGCUGCAUACACAUUUCACUUUUUUUCCUUUGACAUGACCAAAAAUAUCCAAAUAUUUAAGUUUAUUAUUAUUAUUAAUAUUAUUAUUAUUUGACAAUCUUAUAUCCAAUGGGCUCUCUAGAAGCUGCAUCCCCAGCCCUUUCACCUUUUCUUUGAAUGUAGUUCCCAACCUUCAAUUCCCACCCCUAAUUCUGACAAAAAGCUUAGCCAGGUCAUGAUACUGCUGCUAUAAGCCAGGGGAGGGUGGUUUCUUUGUUUUGUUUUGUUUUGUUUUGUUUUUUAAAUUUCCAGCCAAAACCAAAGAUUUCUUAAUGAUUGUAUAAACUCAAAACAAACAAAAGAACCAAAGAAAAGGGAAGUCUUCAGCAUCAGUCCAGUCUGUGGUGUCCUGGCACUUAGAAGAGUGAGGCCAGGGAAGGUGGGGCGGGGGGACCCUCUGACUGGAUCAGAAAGGGCAGGCAAGCUGUUUUCCACCUUCCAGGGUCCAGCACAGGUGCAUGCCCCUAGCUUUGGCCCUCACAAACUUGUGAGCAUGCCCUGAAACAAAUUGGCAUUUCAGAUUUUCCAAAACAAAAGUCAAAAAACCCCAUCACCACCAUCAUCCACCCUACACCAACCAGGGUCACUAUGGGGACUUAGCACAGGGCCUAGGGAGGGUGGGAGCUGCUGCUAGACUGGCCCGAGGACUCCACAGAGUGGGGGACGUUGAAGACACUGGCGCACGAUUGGCUGCUCUGCUGGGUGCUUUAACCUCUGGGGCUGGGCGAAUGCACGCCACGGUGCCCUUCUGAGCCUUUUUUCUCUUUUCCUGUACUGGAACUGCUUGGAAGUGGCUGUCCUGUUUGUGAGAAAACAUGCAGAAAGAUUAUCAAGCUUUUCAUUUCUCUUUAUUGUAGUUUUCUUUCCUUUUUGCAGCACCACUGUGCAACUAUGCAUUGUACUUCACAACCUUUUGUGCUAGGUAGAUGCCUGUGACUUUUUAACUUGGGGGGUGGGGGGAUUGCAAAUGAAGGAACUUUUUACAUGGAUCUUUUUAAUCUCAGUUGAUUGGGGGAGGGGGGUACUUGGUUCUUGGGUCAUACAAGCUCUAUCCCAAAGCAAAAUCCAAAUGUUAAUAAUAUUAGCCUGAUGCAGAUACCAAAGAUAAUUUCUUUCCUGCAGAACCUUAGACUCGUGUAUUAAGUACGAUUACCCAGCACUUGCAUUAGUCUAACCUCAGUAAUUCCAAAGCUUAGAUGUAUAUUUUGGUAUAUUUCUGGGAUAUUAAAAAAAAUGUCGUUUAACUUCUUGUUUGUUUCAGUGUAAUGCUCUUAAAGUCAUAGCAUGAAAAUAAUUGAACUGUCCUAUUCUUAGUAGUUUGAAAUAAUAGUAUUUUUGUAUGUUUUGGGUGUGUCUAUGUAUGUAUUAACAUAACAGUUUUCACUGCCUAGGUGUUCAUAAUAAAAAAAUGAAAAAAGUUCUGAGUGUACAUAAUAUUCAAUAAUAAUCUCCCACCAGGUGUCAAUUUAGAUUGCAUAUUCCUCAUUACUGUUCCCAACUGGGAUUUUGUUUUCUUUUAAAGAGACAGUGAUCGUGUUUUUCUAAAGAUGUUUUCUUUCUCUCUUUCAAUAUCUUAACUCACUUUUUUUUCUUCCUUUUUUGUCUUAAUUAUUAAUUCAGGGGUGUUUGUCCACUGUUGUCAAAGGAGGGGCACAAGGGGAAUUGGCCCCUUGGCCUCCUAGAACUUUUUGUUUUAUGUACUUUAAAAUGUGAGUUUGAGUUCUUCUUUGUGGAAACUUAAGAUGUGGUGUAAAUGAUUCUUUCCAAAAUUGUCCAGCAGCUUUAAUGAGGCAGUGACAAUUCUGAGGUGGUUUAUUGGGAGUCCUUCUACAUUUCUCUUAAAUAACUCUGCACUCUGGGUGGCUAUUGUGUAGCCUUACUGCCCCAGAGUGCCUGUUAGCCAAAUAUUUCCCCUCUGAUAGGAAUAUUUUCUAAGAAUCAGCUGAUAACUUGCUUGCUGGACCUUGUUAUCUGUGCCCCUGGGAGACACACGUUUUCUUGGUUUUGAAAACCUGAAACACAGGCAACUUUACAUUUUGGGGAAUUAGCUGAUGCCUCCUGAGGCCUGAGGAGGUGGCGGGGAAUAUGAGCGGUGCUGUCUCUCUCAAAGUGCCCUUUAGAUGAUUCCCCCUCCUAGGGCUGCCUGCAGGGGCUGUAGGCUUGGGAAAGAUUGUGUAGGUGACAGUGAAUCAGAAUGAAAUGGUAGAUUUUGUGUAGAUGCAUUUGUCUGCUGUAAUUUUUUAUAUAUAUAUUAAACUUACUGUAACUGUACAGUUCAUUUCUGUUGUAAAACAUCAUUAAACCAUUUUCCAAGUGUUUUCACAUUG